CUACGGGACGCAGCAGUGGGGAAUAUUGGACAAUGGGGGAAACCCUGAUCCAGCAAUGCCGCGUGUGUGAAGAAGGCCUGCGGGUUGUAAAGCACUUUCGGUUGGGAGGACUGCUUCUAGCACUAAUAUUGUUGGAAGUUGACGUUACCUUCAGAAGAAGCACCGGCUAACUCCGUGCCAGCAGCCGCGGUAAUACGGAGGGUGCAAGCGUCAUCGGAAUUACUGGGCGUAAAGCGCGCGUAGGCGGCUAGAUCAGUCGGGUGUGAAAGCCCCGGGCUUAACCUGGGAACUGCAUCCGAUACUGUCUAGCUUGAGUACAGGAGAGGAGAGUGGAAUUCCACAUGUAGCGGUGGAAUGCGUAGAUAUGUGGAGGAACACCAAUGGCGAAGGCAGCUCUCUGGCCUGAUACUGACGCUGAGGUGCGAAAGCGUGGGGAGCAAACAGGAUUAGAUACCCCCGUAGUC
rnacentral:rRNA from 1 species